GCAGCAGUGGGGAAUAUUGGACAAUGGGCGAAAGCCUGAUCCAGCAAUGCCGCGUGAGUGAUGAAGGCCUUAGGGUUGUAAAGCUCUUUUACCCGGGAUGAUAAUGACAGUACCGGGAGAAUAAGCCCCGGCUAACUCCGUGCCAGCAGCCGCGGUAAUACGGAGGGGGCUAGCGUUGUUCGGAAUUACUGGGCGUAAAGCGCACGUAGGCGGCUUUGUAAGUUAGAGGUGAAAGCCCGGAGCUCAACUCCGGAAUUGCCUUUAAGACUGCAUCGCUAGAAUUGUGGAGAGGUGAGUGGAAUUCCGAGUGUAGAGGUGAAAUUCGUAGAUAUUCGGAAGAACACCAGUGGCGAAGGCGACUCACUGGACACAUAUUGACGCUGAGGUGCGAAAGCGUGGGGAGCAAACAGGAUUAGAUAC
rnacentral:rRNA from 1 species